GUGUCUUCUGUUUGCGAGUUAAAGAUCAACGUGGCGACAAAGUCUCAAGUUUCGUUGAUUAUUCUUACGGUGUACUUCUUGUCCGUCCGCCGAUAUCAUCGGACAGUGCUUAUAAAUUGCAAAUAAUCUUCGAAAACACGAUCCAGGUCUUUUUUUUUAUCAACGAUCUUUCGUUAUCUAGCUGAAAAAAAUAUCGUGAUUAAUUUAUCGUCAUAUUUAUUAUAUCUUUUCGAAAAUAAUUAAAGCCAAAUGGUAAAGUCGUCUAUAAUCAUUGAAAAGAAAAAAAAUAAUUUAAACAAUUAAAAAAAAAUUUAAUACUAAAAACAAAACAGAAAAAAAAGAAAAUUUUCUUUGGAGAAAUAAUAAAAAUCUAGAUUAAAUAAUAAAAUAGAAAAAUAAAAAAAGAACUAACGAACAAAAUAAGAAAUAUUAAUUCUAAAAGAGGUAUAGCAAACGAAAGAAUAAUUGUAAAUGACGGAGCGAUAUGAAUCGCCGGAAGUGAAGAUCGUAUUGUCUAAGGAAGAGAUUCAUAAGAGAUAUCAAGAUAUAUCCCUAAUUAUAUAUAAAGUAAUUAUUUAUUUACGACACACAAAUUUAUUGAUAAAAAAUAUUAUAUUUAAAUUGUAAUUAAAUACAGAAACAACAAUUUUUAAUAAUCUUCUUUCUAAAUUCAAAGACAUUUUAAUGUACAAAUUAUGUUUUAACAAUAUCUUGCAUAUAAUUACGUACAUUUCUCGAAGUUUUAAUUAAUUAAUUUUUGUGAUUUGUUUCAAAUCUUUGUAUUACAGGAACAGAGUAAGAGAGAAGUGAAUUAUUUAACUUUUGGAACGAGUCGUAGAACGAUGGAGUAUAGUAAUUACGGAAAUCAUCCCGUUAUUGUGCGGAGACCAACUGGCUCUUUGACAACUCACAACGAUGAAAACAUAUCUUCCCAAAUAUUAAGGAUAUAUCGAAAGCCUCGAGAUAGUUGUGCAAUAAAUUAGUUUAUGCCUCAAUUAUGGUUCUUAAUUUUAAAUUAAAUCGUCGAUUGUUUAUUUA